AUGGCCGGGAUGUGCCGGGCAGCCGUGACCCUGCUGGAGUGCGGGGGGGACCUCCAGCCCCCCGGGGGGUCCCUGACUCUGCUCUGCCGUGGGUCUGGAUUCGAUUUCGGGAGUUACACCAUGGAGUGGGUCCGCCAAAGCCCCGGGAAGGCGCUGGAAUGGGUUGCAGGGAUCUAUGCCAAUGGUGCCAGCACCAACUACGCGCCGUCAGUCAAGGACCAGUUCACGAUCUCCAGGGACAACGGGCAGAGCUCGGUGACGCUGACCAUGAACAACCUCAAGGACGAGGAUUCCGUCGUUUAUUUCUGCGCCAAGAGUACUGCUGGUGCUAGUUUUGCUUACCGUGUUGACGGUUUCUGGCCCGUCCCCGUCACUCUCGAAUUUCCCCCCCCGUUUUUCCCAUUUCCCCCAAAUCCCCCCGGCUCCCCCUCCCCUGAUGGCCGAGCUGACGCGGAGCCGACGCCGGCAGAAGCGGUUCGGUGCCGGGUCUGGGCCGGGCCGGAGCCUUUGCCCAAAUCCCUGAAUUUCUGA